ACAUGGUUAAAAAGAUUAAAACAAACGAGACAAUUUUACUAUAUCUGCGCGAGGAAUUUGGCUGCGAAUGGAGUUUAUCGACACUGAAGAGACGUUUGAAAGCAAUGAAUAUCAAGAGACAUGAUCAAACCAUAUCCCCACAACAAGUGAUUAAUGCUAUUCAGAUUGAAAAUCAGGGA